rnacentral:rRNA from 1 species
AACGAACGCUGGCGGCAUGCCUAACACAUGCAAGUCGAACGAGAUCUUCGGAUCUAGUGGCGCACGGGUGCGUAACGCGUGGGAAUCUGCCCUUGGGUUCGGAAUAACAGUGAGAAAUUACUGCUAAUACCGGAUGAUGUCUUCGGACCAAAGAUUUAUUGCCCAGGGAUGAGCCCGCGUAGGAUUAGCUAGUUGGUGGGGUAAUGGCCUACCAAGGCGACGAUCCUUAGCUGGUCUGAGAGGAUGAUCAGCCACACUGGGACUGAGACACGGCCCAGACUCCUACGGGAGGCAGCAGUGGGGAAGAUUGGACAAUGGGCGAAAGCCUGAUCCAGCAAUGCCGCGUGAGUGAUGAAGGCCUUAGGGUUGUAAAGCUCUUUUACCAGGGAUGAUAAUGACAGUACCUGGAGAAUAAGCUCCGGCUAACUCCGUGCCAGCAGCCGCCGCGG